AGCUGCGAGCCCAACGGACAAGUCCCCGGUAACAAACAACAACACGCGAAACUCCACACAUAGAAGCGGAGUAAAAGGUGGAAGAAUGGAACUGGCCAACCAUGGUCUUAUCCUUCUGCAGCAGCUCAACGCACAGAGGGAGUUUGGCUUCCUGUGUGAUUGCACAGUCGCUAUCGGCGACGUCUUUUUCAAAGCACACAAGGCUGUGCUUGCUGCCUUCUCCAACUAUUUUCGAAUGUUGUUUAUUCACCAGGACAGUGACUGUGUUCGCUUGAAACCUGCGGACAUACAGCCUGAUAUCUUCAGCUACCUCCUCAACCUCAUGUACACUGGCAAACUGGCCCCUCAGUUGAUUGAUCCAGCCAGGUUGGAACAGGGGGUAAAAUUCCUGCAUGCCUACCCCCUCAUUCAGGAGGCCAGUCUAGCUAGCCAAGCAGCCCUCUCUCACGCCGAGCCCAGUCUUCCGCUGUCCACUUCACUAUAUGGUAUCCAGAUCUCCGACCAGCAGGGGGUGCUGUCCAGCCAGCUCCCUAGCAGAAGCCACUUAUCCUCGCCUAUCGACUUGGACCCUGUGAGUGGUCUUGAUGGGAAAUGCGAAGCAACAAUCUCAGCCAUCUCUCUAACAGGGUCCAAGUCCAAAUCAGGGCAUUCGCUUCCAGAGGUGGAGGUUGAGGCAUCAACUAGUGGCAGGAGCCAGUUGGCAGGAGAAGGGCUGAACACGGAAGCUGCAGCAGCUGAAACUCCAUCUUCCUCUUUUAACACCAAUACCAUCCUCCAUGUCAAACCCAGUAUCAUGAGGAGGAAUUCCUCCUUCAGGAAGCACUAUACAUGCCACAUGUGUGGGAAUCGUUUUAACCAACGAGGAGCUCUGAGGGAACACCUUCUUCUCCACACUCAGUCUCUGUUCCCCCUGGUGGUGGAGUCAGGAGGUGGAUCUUCUCCAAUGAUGCCUGCCACACCCGAGGUAGAGGAAGCCCUUAGAGUUGGGGGAGCAGCCGCAGCCGCUGCAGCUACUUCCACCAUGGGUGACAUAGUCAGCGAUGGCGAACAGCCUCCGUCGACUACCAAAGACUCGCCUCGAUCUGAAACCGCUGUCGCUGUUCCCAUGGCAACGACAGCGGCGAUGAAUCUGUGCGCCACACAGCCUCAGGCCGACACUCCGCCCCCAUCGGAUAUCGCAGACAUCGACAACCUGGAAGGCGCCGCGGACGUAGAGAGGGAAGUGAAGCGCCGCAAGUACGAGUGCUCCACCUGUGGCCGAAAGUUCAUCCAGAAAAGCCACUGGCGGGAGCAUAUGUACAUCCACACCGGGAAGCCCUACCGCUGCAGCGCUUGCGGCAAGAGCUUCUGCAGAGCUAAUCAGGCGGCACGACACGUCUGCCUGAGCCAGGGCGCAGAGUCAGCCUACACCAUGGUGGAUCGACAGAGCAUGGAUCUGUGCGCGGCUGACGACUCCAGCCAAAUGGAGGCAGUUUUCCUGGGUUCUUCAGGGAGACCUUACAAAUGCAACGUCUGCGAAAUGACAUUCUCCAACCCCAAUGAGGUCAUCAAGCAUCUGUGCUUCACUCAGGGAGCCCUCGCAGGGGUGGGCGUUUUAGGCAUGGGAGUUGGGGAGCUGAACAAUGACAAGAUGACCAAAGAUGAGGGGUCGGACUCGACAGGUGGAGGGCCAAUAAUUACACCCAUCAAAACAGAGGAGGUUCUAGUGGAAUAGUGUAAGAUGCGUCUUAUAGAUGUGUAUUUUAAAGAAAAUGUUCCUUUUUUCGAUUCCUUUUUUUUAUCGGUAAAUUAUGAUCAGUAGUUUAAGCUAAAGGUUUAGGUGGAUAAAUUUAGGUAUGUAUGUAUGUGUGAGAUUGGAUCCUUUUUCUACUGAGUCUUUCUUUUUGAAGAGACUGCACUUUUUGAAAGUCAGAUAUAGAAAACGAAGGCUCUACUAUCAGGUCAGAGUGAGGUUUUAUUCCUCACAGUCUAGCCAGAAGUCCAGUACAGUAUCCUUGUGCUUUAAGUUUUUUUUUUAACCUAUGCUCAUUCUCUUUGACUGUGUCAUUUCUGUUCACUCAUACACUGUGCGUUAUAGACGUGCGAUACCGACUUCCUCCUUUUAACUGUUGACAGAAAGACGAAUUACAGAACUGUAGGAAUGUCACGCUCUUCAAGCCAGUUUGUUUAGAGAAGACUGAAGAAGAUAGGGACAUUCAAACACACGCAUCUGAACAGAGAGGAGUUACAGAGUUGAUUCAAAUGAAGGUGCAGUGAAAUCAGAUGGUUGAACACCCUGCUGAAUAUAUCCCUAAAACUCUAUAGGCAAAUGGAAGGCUAAACGGCUUUCAUUCGGUGAGUCACAGCGCCAUUAUCCCUGUCAGUUAACCGUCCUGACAUCCGAAUGCUAGCUGUUAAAAGAAAUGAUUCCAUGCAAACAUGGAAGGGCUGUUUUUUUUGUGUGUGUGUGAGCACAAUCUUUGUAUUUGUACUGAGUCUGGGUGUUGUGAAAGAGACUACUGCUGAUUAGUACAUCACAGCUCAAAAUAAAUAUUUGAACCCUCUUCCUUUUUCCAUCUGUGAAAACAUUUUUUUUUUUCUUUCAUUUGUUAAUCGGUGAGUUGUGAAAUAAGUCCUGUUGGUUGUAAAUUUGUGAGCACGAUGGCUUUUAUUGUUGCUACAUCUCUUCAGUGUUUGUAUUUAUGCUCUGGUCUGACAUGAUCUGCUACUCUGACAUGAUAUUUUUGGAAACAGUUACAGGGAAAGGUAGGAGUAAAAGAAUCCUGCCUUAAACGCACAAAGCGCUGGAGCCAAGGCAAGGUUUUACUGUGAUCUGUUGGUCCUCAGGAACAUUAACAAUCAUCUUUGGGAAAAAAGGCUUUUUUUUUUUCAUUGUGUAUAAUGA